rnacentral:rRNA from 1 species
UGUAGUAAUACAAGGCAGACGGCUCAGUAACGCGUAGUCAACCUACCCUAUGGACGGGGAUAACCUCGGGAAACUGAGAAUAAUACCCGAUAGAACAUUAUGCCUGGAAUGGUUUAUGUUUCAAAUAAUUUAUUGCCGUAGGAUGGGACUGCGGCCUAUCAGUCUGUUGGUGAGGUAAUGGCCCACCAAGACUAUUACAGGUACGGGCUCUGAGAGGAGUAGCCCGGAGAUGGGUACUGAGACACGGACCCAGGCCCUAUGGGGCGCAGCAGGCGAGAAAACUUUGCAAUGUGCGAAAGCACGACAAGGUUAAUCCGAGUGGUUUCUGCUAAAGGAACCUUUUGUCAGUCCUAGAAACACUGAUGAAUAAGGGGUGGGCAAGUUCUGGUGUCAGCCGCCGCGGUAAAACCAGCACCUCAAGUGGUCAGGAUGAUUAUUGGGCCUAAAGCAUCCGUAGCCUGCUUUGCCAGUUUUCGGUUAAAUCCAUACGCUCAACGUAUGGGCUGCCGGGAAUACUACAAAGCUAGGGAGUGGGAGAGGUAGACGGUACUCGGUAGGAAGGGGUAAAAUCCUUUGAUCUAUUGAUGACCACCUGUGGCGAAGGCGGUCUACCAGAACACGUCCGACGGUGAGGGAUGAAAGCUGGGGGAGCAAACCGGAUUAGAUACCCGGGUAGUCCCAGCUGUAAACUAUGCAAACUCAGUGAUGCAUUGGCUUGAUGCCAAUGCAGUGCUGCAGGGAAGCCGUUAAGUUUGCCGCCUGGGAAGUACGUACGCAAGUAUGAAACUUAAAGGAAUUGGCGGGGGAGCACCACAAGGGGUGAAGCCUGCGGUUCAAUUGGA